CGGAAUCUUGAUUUCUCCUUCACCUCCUUCAACCUUCCACACCACCAUUACUUGCAGAAAAUUUCACUUUCAGAGCAACUCUCAUCGAUCUUCUCCAUCGAAAUCUCUUCGUUAAAUCUCCAUUCCUUCUUCUCCAUCGGAAUUCUUCAUUCGAAUAAUCUUUACUCGGUUUCGAAUUUAGGGUUCAGGAUUUUGAUUUGAUCGAAUAUUCAGUCAUCAUUUUACCUGUAACCUUAAACUCGAAAUGAGUGAAUUGGUUGAAUUAUUUCCACGUUGAUUACUUUACAGAGAAUCAUCAACCAUAUAGUUUAGGGACAUCCUAAUUUAGUUUUUUCUAAUCCGAAGUUUAGAUGUGGAAAAAAAUUCUGGUCGAAGAACUAUUAGGUAAGAUUAAUGGUGCUGAUAAUUUAGUAUUAGUAUAAUUUCCACGUUUUUACAGUAGCCUGAUUUGAAUUUGAGUCUCACUGCUGUUAAAUCCAAUUAAUUUCUCCAUUGUUGAGACUUGAAAGUUGAAUCUAUGUUCUAACUUGCUCAUGACAGUGAAAUUAAAUGGGAUUUUGAGUGUUGUUUUUAUAAUGUAUUCUUCAUGGUUAGCUUGAAUGUUUAUCAAGUUCCAUCAAUGGUUUUUUUUCAUGAUUAAUCUCCAGUUCAGGUUAUUGCUUUUUGUUGGACUCGAAUGCAAUUGUUUUGGAAUAGAUUAUGGGCGAUGUUUAUGCAUAGGAUGGUAAAGAUAUAAAUUGAAAUGCUGCAAACCCCACUCUGGGUAAGAUUGUAGUUUAUGGCGCAUCUUAUCCUGGCAUCUCCAAGGUACAUACUUCCUUUUCUUAUUUAUCUUUUCUUUUGUUUUACAUCUUGAAGUGUGUAAACCAAAAUUUAGAUAUUGAGAUUAGUUUAGUUCUUCUGGUUGCUAAGGAUUAUAAGAAUUGGUGUAUAUGCAUUACAGGGUUCAGUGCAUAACCCCCCGUAUCAGCUCAGGUUUGACUAAAUUAUCAGCCCCAUGUAAUACCUAUUGGAUUGUUGGUUUUUAAUUGGACUUUUCUGCUUUCUUGACUCAGGUUUGUCCUUAAGGGAAGGAUACUAGCCUUAGAUGUUAUGAAAAUGCGGGGAAAGGGUAAGAAUGCAUUUCGCAGGACAUCUAUUAAUUUUGAUUUAGAUUAAACUAGAGAUGAACGACAAAGGCAUGAUCCAGAGGGAUGCCUGACAUUUUUUUUGUUUUGAAGCUCAGUUGGGCAACUAUACACCUAAUCGCGUCCAUGAGGAUCUUGCUUUGCCAGGCCCAUCACCUACCUGUAGUCUUAGCUUGACAGUCAUGAUCUGCUAACCCAUAUUUUCGAGCCUUUAUAUGUAAUAAUUAUGCUCAGGAAUUGUAGCUGACAGGUAGAUAAUGAGUUGUCCUACUUUCUUAAGAAGUUAUGCGGUCAUCUGCAGAUUGAUCAUCGGCCCAUUUGGUUGUCAAUUUGACACUCAGUUUGUGUUGUUGCAGUGUUAACUACAUCACUUGGAGCUGGCAGGACUGUUUUUCGUCUUCGCCAGUGCAUAAAUUAUAUUGUUAAACAAUCAUAGACUCAUCAAAAAAUGGACAGAAUGAGUAACAUAUAGAAUACAAUUACCAAUUGCCUCAA